AUUAUACACCAUGAACAGGUGGGAUUUAUUCCAGGGAUGCAAGGAUGGUUCAACAUCCACACAUCAAUCAACGUGAUAAACUACAUUAACAA